AUGGCAUUGGCCUGGUUAAUGCUGGAGGCAAUCUGCUCUAGCUCAUACCAAAACUUCAUCACAGCUGGGGUUAAAUUCCUUCCAAAGUUAAGCAUGAGAGUAUGGCCAUCCCACUGUCACGACCCAAGAUCAGAGAUGGGACGGAGAGACGGAUCAGCACCAAUAUCUAGAUAUAAAUUGAGGAUACAAGGAGAAUCUGGGAUGAGAAAUCAGCAAGCAAGGAGAGGAAUACAGAGAGCAGGAGGUGAGGAGCUGGAGCAAGGGGGCGAGAGACUUGAUAACGAUUCAUUCCUUCGAUGCCCUCCUCCUGUGCUCGCCGGGUUGCAUAUGUAG
rnacentral:rRNA from 1 species